GACGUAGGGCGCGAGCGUUUGUCCGGAUUUAUUGGGCGUAAAGAGCUCGUAGGCGGCUUGUUGCGUCGACCGUGAAAACUUGGGGCUUAACCCUAAGCCUGCGGUUGAUACGGGCAGGCUAGAGUUCGGUAGGGGAGACUGGAAUUCCUGGUGUAGCGGUGAAAUGCGCAGAUAUCAGGAGGAACACCGGUGGCGAAGGCGGGUCUCUGGGCCGAUACUGACGCUGAGGAGCGAAAGCGUGGGGAGCGAACAGG
rnacentral:rRNA from 1 species